GCAGAUAAUAGCGCAUUGAAUCAAGAUGGUAAGGUUCAGGUUGUUGGUGCCAAUGCAAAGGGUCCGCAAGUUUCAUCUAUGUGAUUUUUGGUUUAUAAAUUAUUGAUUAGACCGAAGAGUUUAUUACAAGAAUAAGGAAAUGAUUCUGCAAAGCUUUCGUGUGGUGGAUAUUGCUAUGCUAUGGAAAACUAACUUUGAGGUGUUGGUUUGAGAUCGUUUAAUAUGUACAUGGGGAUGGGGGAACACUGUUAAUGUAAAUUCUGAUGAUGAUUUAUUUCCGAUUAGAUUAUUGCACUUGACAGGACUUUCUUCUAGUUGCUAAAUCAGGUAAAGCUCUCAAUUUUGUUGUUUCCCAAUUAAUAAUAAAAAAACUAUAUUAUUUGUG
rnacentral:misc_RNA from 1 species